rnacentral:rRNA from 1 species
CCUACGGGGGGCAGCAGUGAGGAAUAUUGGUCAAUGGCCGUAAGGCUGAACCAGCCAAGUCGCGUGAAGGAAGAAGGCUCUAUGGGUUGUAAACUUCUUUUAUAGGGGAAUAAAGGUAGCCACGUGUGGAGAUUUGCAUGUACCCUAUGAAUAAGCAUCGGCUAACUCCGUGCCAGCAGCCGCGGUAAUACGGAGGAUGCGGGCGUUAUCCGGAUUUAUUGGGUUGAAAGGGUGCGUAGGAUGUUUUUUAAGUCAGCGGUGAAAGUUUGUGGCUCCACCAUACAAUUGCCGUUGAAACUGGCAUACUUGAGUGUGUUUCAGGUAGGCGGAAUUCGUGUUGUAGCGGUGACAUGCUUAGAUAUCACGCAGAACUCCGAUUGCGAAGGCAGCUUACUACGCCAUAACUGACACUGCAGCUCGAAAGCGUGGGUAUCGAACAGGAUUAGAUACCCUGGUAGUC